UACGGGGGGGGUAAGCGUUGUUCGGAAUUACUGGGCGUAAAGGGCUCGUAGGCGGCCAACUAAGUCAGACGUGAAAUCCCUCAGCUUAACUGGGGAACUGCGUGUGAUACUGGAUGGCUUGGAUUUGGGAGAGGGAUGCGGAAUUCCAGGUGUAGCGGUGAAAUGCGUAGAUAUCUGGAGGAACACCAGAGGCGAAGGCGGCAACCUGGCUCGUAACUGACGCUCAUACACGACAGCAUGGGGAGCGAACGGG
rnacentral:rRNA from 1 species